UACGUAGGGGGCAAGCGUUGUCCGGAAUCAUUGGGCGUAAAGCGCGUGUAGGCGGUCCGGUAAGUCCGCUGUGAAAGUCGGGGGCUCAACCCUCGGAUGCCGGUGGAUACUGUCGGGCUUGAGUACGGAAGAGGCGAGUGGAAUUCCUGGUGUAGCGGUGAAAUGCGCAGAUAUCAGGAGGAACACCAAUAGCGAAGCAGCUCGCUGGGACGGUAGCUGACGCUGAGGCGCGAAGCGUGGGAGCAACAGGA
rnacentral:rRNA from 1 species